GGGGAAUCUUAGGCAAUGGGGGAAACCCUGAUCUAGCCAUGCCGCGUGAUCGAUGAAGGCCUUAGGGUUGUAAAGAUCUUUCAGUGGGGAAGAUAAUGACUGUACCCACAGAAAAAGCCCCGGCUAACUCCGUGCCAGCAGCCGCGGUAAUACGGAGGGGGCUAGCGUUGUUCGGAAUUACUGGGCGUAAAGCGCACGUAGGCGGAUCAGAAAGUCAGAGGUGAAAUCCCAGGGCUCAACCUUGGAACUGCCUUUGAAACUCCUGAUCUUGAGGUCGAGAGAGGUGAGUGGAAUUCCGAGUGUAGAGAUGAAAUUCGUAGAUAUUCGGAGGAACACCAGUGGCGAAGGCGGCUCACUGGCUCGAUACUGACGCUGAGGUGCGAAAGCGUGGGGAGCAAAC
rnacentral:rRNA from 1 species